UCCAUCUAACUGCAGUGUUGUGGCUUUAACGUAUUCCAGGUGUGGAUCUGAUUUGCAAUGGCUUAUCAGGAUUCAGGCCGGGGAUGAUAAGACUGUGGGUGCGAGUUUCUUUUUCUGAUGGCACAUCAAAAAAGCCUGAACUGUCUUGCAGAGAAUAGUCCAUUAUCCCAGGGAAGCUGGGUAUUUUUGGCAUGCGUGGGCGCGGAUAAACAGAAUCCUACAGCAAUAAGGUUCUCACUCUGUUUGCUAUUCUUCAGUUAGUCAGGUUUAAUCCUUUGUAUUCCCUGAACCAAAAAAGAAAAAAAAAAGGUGAUCUGUUACGCCGAGUUUACUCAAAACUAGAAGAAAAACUUUCUAGUGUGUUUGGACGAGGGAGUUACUGUAGGGACUUUCAGAUUUUGCCUUCGUUUUAUCUAAUCUAGGAAUUUGGAAUGACAUCCUUGUAUCCAAA